AUCCAGUUGACGAGUCCCAAAUAGGAAGAAAUGAGCGUCCUUGAU
rnacentral:hammerhead_ribozyme from 1 species